AACUGCCGUAAAACUCGAAGAAGAAAAAUAUUAUGGGAUGCACUUCUACUGGUGUGGGUGCAACAUCAGUCCGUGUAAGAUGGUGCCUAUUUUUUUUCUCCGUCUCCUGUCCUGUUUUCUCACAUACAUGUGGCAACAUAAAUUUAGUGCUGUGUGAAUGUGGCCUUGCAAAUUGUGUGACAGUUUAUCUACUAGGUAUGAGUUGUUAUUAAAACAUUUUAGGCUAAGACAUUUCCACCAUAGCCGGACAGGGCAAUAUCCAUGUGUAUAUCUAGACUGUCCUUGCAUAUUCAUAAGCUGGAAGAAACUUCUGAGUCACAUAUAUAGAACACACACCAAGUUAGAAACAGCAGGUGCUCAGUCCAUUACAUUUUCAUGUCAGACAUAAUUUCAUGCUUUUAAUAUUUUUGUGAGGCUUUAAUGUUAAUAAAGCUGUUGAAUCAACAAGGUGGUCUGAUUGUUUUGCAUCAUUAAGAUUGUACUGAAUGGAAAGGAAUUGCAUAAAUGUGAUGCAUUUUUAUUCAUUUGGUUU